AGCAGUGGGGAAUAUUGGACAAUGGGCGAAAGCCUGAUCCAGCAAUGCCGCGUGAGUGAUGAAGGCCUUAGGGUUGUAAAGCUCUUUUACCCGGGAAGAUAAUGACUGUACCGGGAGAAUAAGCCCCGGCUAACUCCGUGCCAGCAGCCGCGGUAAUACGGAGGGGGCUAGCGUUGUUCGGAAUUACUGGGCGUAAAGCGCACGUAGGCGGCUUGGUAAGUUAGAGGUGAAAGCCCAGGGCUCAACCCUGGAAUUGCCUUUAAGACUGCCGAGCUAGUAGGUGAGAGAGGUGAGUGGAAUUCCGAGUGUAGAGGUGAAAUUCGUAGAUAUUCGGAAGAACACCAGUGGCGAAGCGGCUCACUGGCUCAUUCUAGACGCUGAG
rnacentral:rRNA from 1 species